rnacentral:rRNA from 1 species
AACGAACGCUUGCGGCGCGCCUAAUACAUGCAAGUCGAACGAGGUAGCAAUACCAAGUGGCGCACGGGUGAGUAACACGUGGAUAAUGUGCCAUUCAGUGGGGAAUAACCAACCGAAAGGUUGGCUAAUACCGCAUGAGACCACAGUCCCUGAGGGGACAGAGGUUAAAGAUUUAUCGCUGAAUGAUCAGUCUGCGUAAGAUUAGCUAGUUGGUGAGGUAACGGCUCACCAAGGCAACGAUCUUUAGGUGGUCUGAGAGGAUGACCACCCACACUGGAACUGAGACACGGUCCAGACUCCUACGGGAGGCAGCAGUAGGGAAUAUUGCACAAUGGGGGAAACCCUGAUGCAGCGACGCCGCGUGAGUGAUGAAGGCCU